AAGUAGUACAAAUUUUGCCGGAAACUAAUUAUUAAUGGCGGCUUUUUUCUUAAUUAGAGGAAUUUGUUUUAUAAACGACAAUACCCGAUAAAUCUUACUUAUUAUUAAAAUUUGUAUACCGUCGUCACACUUCAAUUUCAAUUAAAUGAUCACAAUAUUUAUCUUAUAACAAAUCAGAUCAAGGUGCAGUCAAUUAAUAAGCCAAAAAUGAAUUACAUUAAUUAUUAAUUAUGGAUUUAUUAAAAAAAUUCAAUAAUAAAACAGGAUCUAAAUUCAAAUUAUAAUUUAAAAUAUUAAAUUAAAUAAAAAACAAAAGUGC
rnacentral:rRNA from 1 species